AUUGAACGCUGGCGGCAAGCCUAACACAUGCAAGUCGAACGGUAGCACAGAGAGCUUGCUCUCGGGUGACGAGUGGCGGACGGGUGAGUAAUGUCUGGGAAACUGCCCGAUGGAGGGGGAUAACUACUGGAAACGGUAGCUAAUACCGCAUAACGUCUUCGGACCAAAGUGGGGGACCUUCGGGCCUCACACCAUCGGAUGUGCCCAGAUGGGAUUAGCUAGUAGGUGGGGUAAUGGCUCACCUAGGCGACGAUCCCUAGCUGGUCUGGGAGGAUGACCAGCCACACUGGAACUGAGACACGGUCCAGACUCCUACGGGAGGCAGCAGUGGGGAAUAUUGCACAAUGGGCGCAAGCCUGAUGCAGCCAUGCCGCGUGUAUGAAGAAGGCCUUCGGGUUGUAAAGUACUUUCAGCGGGGAGGAAGGCGAUGGAGUUAAUAGCUUCAUCGAUUGACGUUACCCGCAGAAGAAGCACCGGCUAACUCCGUGCCAGCCGCCGCCGUAA
rnacentral:rRNA from 1 species